rnacentral:rRNA from 1 species
GCGCAGCAGGCGCGAAACUUCACAAUGUGCGAAAGCACGAUGAGGGAAUCCCAAGUGCUUGCACGUAAGUGUAAGCUGUUUCUCUGUCUAAAACGCAGAGAGAGUAAGGGCUGGGUAAGACGGGUGCCAGCCGGCCGCGGUAAUACCUGCAGCUCGAGUGGUGGCCGUUAUUAUUGGGCCUAAAACGUCCGUAGCCAGUUUAAUAAAUGCCUGGGUAAAUCGGACCGCUUAACGGUUCGAAUUCCGGGUAGACUGUUAAACUUGAGACCGGGAGAAGUUAGAGGUACUCCUGGGGUAGAGGUGAAAUUCUGUAAUCCUAGGGGGACCACCAGUGGCGAAGGCGUCUAACUAGAACGGGUCUGACGGUGAGGGACGAAGCCCUGGGGCGCAGACGGGAUUAGAUACCCGUGUAGU